UACGUAGGGUCCGAGCGUUGUCCGGAAUUAUUGGGCGUAAAGGGCUCGUAGGCGGUUUGUCGCGUCGGGAGUGAAAACCGGGUGCUUAACACCUGGCUUGCUUUCGAUACGGGCAGACUAGAGGUAUGCAGGGGAGAACGGAAUUCCUGGUGUAGCGGUGGAAUGCGUAGAGAUCGGGAAGAACAUCAGUGGCGAAGGCGGUCUGCUGGGCCGUUGCUGACGCUGAGGCGCGACAGCGUGGGGAGCAAACAGG
rnacentral:rRNA from 1 species